CAAUGAUAUUUCAAGUGACGGCGGGUGGCUGCAAAGCGGCUAUCAGAAAGCAAGGAUGCCCCUCAGAGUCCACCGCUGACAGCCACCUCCUACUAGUCCCACUGGCAUCUCCAGCCCCACGGAGGACCACAGAACAGCAGACCACGGAUGUGGAUGCAUGCAUCUGCUGUAUUCAAUGGGUUCGGCGGGUGUGCCCCACAGGAAACGUCUGUUUGCAGCCACCACCAUGCUGGUCAUGAGAUAAGUGCUGGUAGUUGAGGCUGAAAGCUGCUCCACGUCUGCUUUGGUUGGCUGACCCCGCCCCUUCUUCAGGCCACAUCCGGGGCAAGACAAAAGCUGCUAGAAAGCUGCUACCUUGACCAGCUUGUCUGCUUUGCCUGGGACUGUCCGAACAAAGAAAGUCACACGUCCCAGGAACCUUGUCCCAGGAACCUUCUCGGUCCUGAGUCACCCUAAAGCUUGCUCAGGGCCACACCAGCUUUGGGGGUUUUCUGUGGACCCCGUAGGCAGGUUCCAGGCUCACGAAGGAUUCACGUCUGAGGACUUGCCCAGCGCUCGGUCCCCACUGCAGAUGGGUCCCAGGGGACUGGGCUCACUUCCCCCCAGACAGUUCUCCGUCAUCCUGGCCCAGUGCCCUCAGUGGGGGCUGUUCCAAAGCGGGCUCCUACAGUCUCCCACACCACCCUCCCCACCAGUCUGCAAGGGUCAGGAGAUGAG
rnacentral:lncRNA from 1 species